rfam:Cucumis sativus cultivar 9930 chromosome 5, whole genome shotgun sequence.
AGGAUAAUACAACUUUAUUUGAUCAAAGUAGAAUGAUAUAUAGAAGAUUAGCAUGACUCGUGUGCAACGAUGACACAAUACAAAUCGAGAAAUGGUCCAAAAUACA